AGUGGCGGACGGGUGAGUAACACGUGAGCAAUCUGCCCAUAGCAGGGGAAUAGCAGUUGGAAACGACUGAUAAUACCGCAUAAGACCACAGUGGGGCAUCCCACAGGGGUCAAAGAUUUUAUCGGCUAUGGAUGAGCUCGCGUCCCAUUAGGCAGUUGGUGAGGUAACGGCCCACCAAACCUACGAUGGGUAGCCGACCUUAGAGGGUGAUCGGCCACAUUGGAACUGAGACACGGUCCAAACUCCUACGGGAGGCAGCAGUGGGGAAUAUUGGGCAAUGGAGGCAACUCUGACCCAGCAACGCCGCGUGAGCGAUGAAGGUCUUCGGAUUGUAAAGCUCUUUAAGUGGGGACGAAGAAAGUGACUGUACCCACAGAAUAAGCUCCGGCUAACUACGUGCCAGCAGCCGCGGUAAUACGUAGGGAGCAAGCGUUAUCCGGAAUGACUGGGCGUAAAGGGUGCGUAGGUGGCUUGGCAAGUUGGUAGCGUAAUUCCGGGGCUCAACUUCGGAACUACUACCAAAACUGUCGGGCUUGAGUGCAGGAGGGGUGAACGGAAUUCCCAGUGUAGCGGUGGAAUGCGUAGAGAUUGGGAAGAACACCAGCGGCGAAGGCGGUUCACUGGACUGUAACUGACACUGAGGCACGAAAGCGUGGGGAGCAAACAGGAUUAGAUACCCUGGUAGUCCACGCCGUAAACGAUGAAUACUAGGUGUAGGGGGUAUCGACUCCCUCUGUGCCGUCGCAAACGCAUUAAGUAUUCCGCCUGGGGACUACGGCCGCAAGGUUGAAACCUAAAGAAAUUGACGGGGACCCGCACAAGCAGCGGAGCAUGGGGUUUAAUUCGACGCAACGCGAAAAACCUUACCAGAACUUGACAUCGCGUGACCGGUCCUGUAAUGGGACCCUUCCCUUCGGGGACACAGAGACAGGUGGUGCAUGGUUGUCGUCAGCUCGUGUCGUGAGAUGUUGGGUUAAGUCCCGCAACGAGCGCAACCCUUGUCCUUAGUAGCCAGCGCGUUAAGGUGGGCACUCUAGGGAGACUGCCGGGGACAACCCGGAGGAAGGCGGGGACGACGUCAAAUCAUCAUGCCCCUUAUGGCCUGGGCUACACACGUGCUACAAUGGCGCACACAAAGGGAAGCGAAGCCGCGAGGCCGGGCAAAUCCCAAAAAAGGCGCCCCAGUUCGGACUGCAGUCUGCAACCCGACUGCACGAAGCUGGAUUCGCUAGUAAUCGCGCAUCAGCCAUGGCGCGGUGAAUACGUUCCCGGGCCUUGCACACACCGCCGGUCA
rnacentral:rRNA from 1 species